rnacentral:lncRNA from 1 species
AUAUUGGCAAUGAAAAAGAAAAAGGUAUUAAUACAUGCUGCAAAAAGGAUAAACAUUGAAAACAUGGUAAGUGAAAGUAGUGAGUCGCACGUAACUAUAUAUUAUUAUGAUUCCGCUUACAUGAAAUGUCUAGGAUAGGCAAAUCCUUCCAGAAUAGGCAAAUCCUUAGGAAGUAGAUGGAUGGUUGCCUAGGGCUGGGAGGGGUUUAAAGAAAGAGUGGGGAAAAUGGGGAAAGAUUGCUAAUGGGUGCAAGGUUUCUUUUAAGGAGCAUGAAAAUGUUCUAAAAUUAUAUUGUGGUGAUUGCGUAUCCACCUAGUUAAUGCCCUAAAAAAAUUGAAUUUUAUACUUUAUAUGAGUGAAUUAAAUAAUAUAUAAAUUAUAUCUCAAUGAACCUGUGAAAAAAGUUAAAAAAUAUGUGAUAUGCAUACACAAAAUUUCUUCAUUUUAUUUUGUUUCCAUAGGUUUUUGGGGAACAGGUGGCGUUUGAUUGUAAGAGUAAGUUCCUUAGAGGUUGAAUAAUUUUGAUGGGCAGAAGUGUUCUAAAGUAUGCUUUUAUAAACCUCAUAUCACAGUAAUCCAUUGUUGAAACAUGGCUUAAUGCAUGUUUUAGGAUGGGUGAAGGAAGGAGAGAAGGGAAAAAGAAAAGAUGAAGAAAGGAAGAAAAAAAGAAAAAAGAAGGUGAAGGAAAGAGAGAGGAAGAAAGAAAAUGAAAAUAUGAGCAUGUUAUGAAGAAAACUGAAAAUAUGUAAUUAUUUUUUCUUAAUUUUAGCAGGUGUAGAAACUCUUAAGGCUGAUGAUGAGAUAGCUAUUUUUGCCAUAAAUUACAUGAAUUAUAUUCAUUUUUACAUUCUUAUAAUACAGCAUUAGAAUAUGUUGUGUUAUACGUAGACUCCUUAGAAGAUACACAUAAAUAAAAGAAAAAAAUUAAAAGCUGCUUUCAACUUACUAUCAUUCAUGUCCAUCUCUGUGUGCAUGUAUUACACACACACACACAUCCCCACAGUAAGAACCCACUAAAUAUUGUUAAGUUCUGGGAAAAUAUGACCUUAAGUGAAAUGACGUACAAUAGGUCCUUGAAUAACAUAGUCAUUUAGAUAUAAUUAUAAUAUGGAAAAAAUGGAUUUUGUUAUGCAUCGUUUUGAUUAAAGUCACAGUUUCCAAGAACCUAUUGAUGACAUUGAGGAGUUUAUACACACACAAACAUACACAAACAUGCACACACAUACAACACACACACACACAAAUGUAGUUAUACACAAUAUACUGACUGCCUUAUAAGAAUUUUUUUUCUAUCUUGUAAUAAUACAUGAGUACCACAUUUUUCAAUGCAUUUAAUCAUGC